rnacentral:sRNA from 1 species
GUCACGCCGCAUUGAGCGUGUGAGACAUUUGCCAUUCGAAUAGUGGGCAAUGUCGCUUUAUUCGAAAGUGAUUUUUGUUCUUUUUAUUAAAAAACAAAAAGUUAACAUUUUUCUGUGUUAUUGAGGGUUGGCAUUCCACGGCAGAUACCUUGAGCGUCACCUUUGAUCGCGUAAAGUAGAUCGCAGCACAAGGCUGUGCAGGAGUAAGGAACAUCCGGGAAGGGUGACAAAUCUCAGGGAGCGCACGGGAAGUGCAAUGAGUGACAGGAUGACCCCAGCAGGAACGCCUUGUUUGCACCUGAAUGUGUGAACAGCAUAAGGAUGGUGAAGUUAUUGCAAUCUGGAUGCCCGCAGGAAGCGCGCUCAGGGAGAGCGGAUGCGAACGGAUUGCGCCAUGGACGAUUUCCCUUUCAGGAUGAAGGACGUAGUAGCAGGGAAUGCGUUUAUAGCAGAGGGAAAAACCAGGAUGUUGAGUGUGCGCACGGAGCGCGUGGCAGGAAUAUCCUUCGAAAGAGGGUGAGAAAUAGGCGGCAGGUUUAACCUGCCGCCUUUUUUCUU